CCGCCACCGUCUCCCUCUCCCAGCCUGUCCACAAGGUCGCUGGAAAAUCCCACCCCCCCGUACACGCCGAAGAUGGGACGCAGGAGCAUCGAGUCGCCCAACCUGGGUUUCGGCGUGGACCCCUUCCUGCCUCAUCUCCUGGAGGACGAGCAGGGCCAGCUCUCCGACCUGGAGCCCGAGCUGGAUUCCCAGAACUGG